rnacentral:rRNA from 1 species
AGCGAACGCUGGCGGCAGGCUUAACACAUGCAAGUCGAACGGGCGUAGCAAUACGUCAGUGGCAGACGGGUGAGUAACGCGUGGGAACGUACCUUUUGGUUCGGAACAACACAGGGAAACUUGUGCUAAAUACCGGAUAAGCCCUUACGGGGAAAGAUUUAUCGCCGAAAGAUCGGCCCGCGUCUGAUUAGCUUGUUGGUGAGGUAAUGGCUCACCAAGGCGACGAUCAGUAGCUGGUCUGAGAGGAUGAUCAGCCACACUGGGACUGAGACACGGCCCAGACUCCUACGGGAGGCAGCAGUGGGGAAUAUUGGACAAUGGGCGCAAGCCUGAUCCAGCCAUGCCGCGUGAGUGAUGAAGGCCCUAGGGUUGUAAAGCUCUUUUGUGCGGGAAGAUAAUGACGGUACCGC